AAAAAAUGAACCCAUUUUCAUGACCAACAUUUGACCGUCCAUUUUAUUUAAAAAAGUAUGAAAAAAAAUAAAAAGACAAGUCACGUAUAAAGUAUUAAUCAUAUUUUAUCAUCUAACAACAAUGAAGAUGCUAAUUAUAAAAAAUUUUUCAUAUAAUACGGACAGUCAAACGUUGGACACGGAAACCCAAGGUUUGACUUUUU
rnacentral:pre_miRNA from 1 species